GAAUUUAUUCAGCAACCAGAAAAUAAGCUGAGGUACUAGUUAAACAAUUGGAUAAUAUCUUGGCUGCUGUACAUGAUGUGCUUAAUGAAAGUAGCAAAUUGCUUCAGGAGUUGAGACAGGAGGGAGCUUGCUGUCUUGGCCUUCUUUGUGCUUCUCUGAGCUAUGAGGCUGAGAAGAUCUUCAAGUGGAGUUUUAGCAAAUUUAGCUCAUCUGCAAAAGAUGAAGUUAAAGUCCUCUACUUAUGUGCCACCUACAAAGCACUAGAGACUGUAGGAGAAAAGAAAGCCUUUUCAUCUGUAAUGC
rnacentral:lncRNA from 1 species